rnacentral:rRNA from 1 species
UACGGAGGGUGCAAGCGUUAUUCGGAAUUACUGGGCGUAAAGAGCGCGUAGGCGGUUUAUUAAGUCCGAUGUGAAAGCCCUAGACUCAAUCUAGGAAGUGCAUUGGAUACUGGUAGACUAGAGUGCAGGAGAGGAGAGCGGAAUUCCAGGUGUAGAGGUGAAAUUCGUAGAUAUCUGGAGGAACAACAGAGGCGAAGGCGGCUCUCUGGACUGCAACUGACGCUGAGGCGCGAAAGCGUGGGGAGCAAACAGG